UUACGGCCCUAUCAUGUUGAAACACCGGUUCCCGUACAAUCACCAAAGUUAAGCAAUGUCGAGCCUGGUCAUUACCUAGAUGGGUGUUCGCUUGAGAAUACCAGGUACUGUAAG